rnacentral:sRNA from 1 species
UAAUAUAACCAAUUGCUCCGAGAUAAGA